CCCUAAAGAGCAAUUAGGCUUAAAAACUUUGAAUCCUGUUAUUCUAUCAAUGUGGAGCAUAGAACAUAGUUUAUAACACAUGGUUCCAACAAAUCUUACCAAAGUAUUUCCCCAGAAACUCCAGUGCCAAACAUUUACAACUUUCACCAAAUUAAUAAUCCUUAGCUUCUUUGAGAAAACAAUUAGAAAUGUGGAACUGAUUAACUUGCAAUAGUUUUUUUAUCAAAGGGACUUUAACAAAGGCUGAGUAUUUUCUCUUGGAGGGAAGACUUAAAAAAAAAAAAAGACACUGGAAGCAAAACAAAGGCUACAAAAAUCUGUAAUUGUGAGUGUUCUUUGAAACAUUGUAAUACUUCAUCAAAAGUUAAAGUUUAGUUAGGAUUGCCAUUUGCUAAACAUUAAAUCAUUCCUGAAGAGUUUUACAAACAAUAUAAAUGUUGAUUUUUUUUUCCCAAGGCAAAUACUUUUGGGCUAACCUAUCCCAGAUUCAAAUGGUUAAAGAAAGAAAGCAUGAGGCCCAUCCUUCUCUUUCAUAAAGGAGAACCACAUUCUUUCAUUACUGUAGAGUGAUCAUCUCAGAAUUAAGAGAAGAAGGCCAAGAGACUAGAAGAGGAGACAGGGUGGGUGGAGGAGGUGGGGGAUUUUCCUUUCUUCAGACCCUUGCAAUCACGGUUAUGGUUCUACAAAGCCUCAGUCACACCCAUGCACAGCAGUACUGUUUCCCUUUAACUCUGCAUUCAUCGUUUAUGUUAAAACAUUCCACAUAAAAAACUCUUUGUCAUACUUUUCCUUUCCAGUCCCUUCUGUUGUCUCCCGGAAGGAGGCUUUACUUUGCUGACAAGGUCACUGCCCUGCUGUGGUGAUUAACAGAAUGUGCAUCAUUCAAGCUCACCUAGGUUUUACUACAGUAGCUUUCAGUGAUGAAGGAAUAUUUUUCAGUCAGCAAGGAAGCUGCUUUGUCUCCUUGAACUAUAGUACCGAUAUCUCCAAGGGAUUAGAAAUUCUCUAAAAAGACUUCUGAAACAGGUAAAAAAUGUUUGUCUCCCUCUAAUCAAGAAAGAUCAAAGUUAGGCAUGGGAACAAGCCUAACUUUUUGAAAGACUCUUGUAAAUACCUUCAGAAGUGGAGCUCUUGGCAGCCUUAGUUCUGCUAGUCCACUUCCGAGCAGGUGCGAGCCACUUCAGAUUUCCUCUCACAGCUUCCUUUCCUGCCCUCUUUGUGGAUUCUCCUCUUGUUUGCCCACCUGUCAUGUUUCUUCUCAUUCAUAUCUUCACAAGCCGAGUCCUCUCCACUUGAUUCCAAAGCCACACUUCGGAGUUGAGUGAAGCAAGAAGGGUGCAAGCAUCACUGUCUGGAGCCAAUUACAUUUUGCUUCUUCAUCUCUGUCUAGAAGGAAUUUAUUAAAGCAAUUAGAAACAAAAUUAAUAAAUGAUGUUGUUGCCAGUUUCCUUGUUGUCUU
rnacentral:lncRNA from 1 species